ensembl:lncRNA
GAACUAUUAUUUCUAUUACAUUUCCAAGAAAUACCAAAAUGUCUUUCAGUUAGUUAUUUUGAAAUUGAGUAUUUAAAAAAGUACACUCAAAUAUGCUAAAUGGUCAGUGGUAAAGUACAUGAUCUAUGAUGUACUUCAUUUUAAAAACUAAGGAGUAGCUUUUCUCCAGGAAUUACACGUUAUAAAAUUUAAGAAGAAAAUUUGUUAUGAUCAAAGUAUGUCGUUUGGUGACUCUACAUACUUUACAGAUUUUUUAAAUGUCACUAUUUUUAUAUAACACUAAUUGGUGUUUUCAUAAUAAAAUUUGUUAUAUUUUUAGAUAUACUAGAGGAAAUAAAUACUUAAAUAUUACUUCUGAAAAGCUAACAUUAUCCAACGUACUCUAUUUUUCUAGUUUUUAUGUCUUCCUCCAUUUAGAUUUAUGAUAUCUUUCAAAAAUCAGUGGUUUUCUUCAAUUCAAUUCAAGUACCUUACAGUAAAUGAUGUUUUGCUAUACAUUAACUUGCUGUCUAAAGCAAUGAGACAAGCAAAAUAUAUUAAAAUUAGAACAUUUUAAAAGAUAAUGUUCAAAAAUUAGCAUGAAAUACAGGUUAUGAUUGAUAAAAUUAUACUUAAAAAUUUCAUUUGAAAUUCAAAACAUUUUAUCAUCCAUAAUUCCAAUUGCUUCCACAUACAGGCAUAUGUAUUUUAUGAAAUUCUAAUGAUUUCUUUCUUUUCUCCUUGUUACUUUCUUUUUUAUAGAGAGAGGGUUAAAAUUUGGAAGAGACUGGCUACCUCUCAGAUUUCAAAAACUUCUAGCUAGAUUUCUUUGUCCACCUGUUCUUAAUCCAAAGAUCCAAAUGGGAAACAAUUAUAGUCACUUCCUAAAUUUUCAUCUGCAUUCACCUUCUAUGUUAUUUUUAUUGACAAAUGUAGAGAAUUUCCAAAUAUUGUUGAAAUUUGCCUCCUUUCUAUAUCUACAUAGGAGAUAUACAGAAACACUAACACAAGAUAUUUCUAUAAUGAAACGCUACAUAUGACAUUAUAUAUUCCUUAGUAUUAAACUUACAACCAUUACAUUUCUAUGCACAAUUUAAGGGAAUUAAACCAUUUAUUUCUCCCAUGUCAUUAAAAAAGGGUAUUUUUUAAAGGAUUGAAUUUAGAACAAGUUGAUAAAUCUCAGAGAACAAAAACACAAUUGAAACUAAAGAUGGAUGUGCUAGGUAAAACCUUAGUCUUCUGUUUUAAAUUUUCCAAAUUGAAGAGUUUAGCAUGAUUGAUGUAAUUUUGGCACUAUGAUUGGUUAUUCUUCUGUGUUUUUAUUUGUCAUACUUCAUCAAUUUGUAGAAUGUUUUACUCUUAAAGUGCCUUUUCCAUUUUGAGCUUGGGUUUAUGAUUUGAAUCACUAAAACGUCUGGUUUAGCUGUGUUUGUAUAGUUUCCCUAAAAUAUCUACUUCCACAUUUUAAUUUUAUAUGAUUCAGACUCAGCAAAGAAACACCAGCUGUCUUCCAUGUCAACAUUUUUGUUUAUAGGAAUAAAGCAAAUGCGUUAUGCAUUCACAUUCCACACCAAAUGGAAAGUUAAUACCAAAUACAUAAUAUCUUAUAAAAAAUUUCUAACAAUCUAAUAAUGAUACAUUCCUUCAGCUCAGAUUUUUGAAAAUGACUUUAAGAAGCGAUAUGGAAUGUUUUAUAUAGAGCAAUAAACAUAUUAAAAUGAAUCAAAACAAGAUUAAAAAUGAUUAAAUGACAAUUCUUUGCUUAUGCCUCUAUAGAGCUAAGAAAUAAGAAAGAUUAUACAAGGUGAGAGUAGGCCAAAGGAAAGUCAGAAGACAGUGUGCAGGAGAAGUAAAGACAGAAAGCAAGAUAGGCUUAAAAUGUGGAUAAUAAUUUUAUAUUUAUUAAUAUAAAUAUAGCUCAGAAUCCACAUAACAUAUAAUAAUGGUAUUUAAAAUCUAAAGACGUAUCUUAAUUUAAAUGGACUUAAAAAUAACUGAUCAGAAAGAUUUAUAUUUAAUUAUGUGCUAUAUAUGUUUUUGAUAGAAAUAAUGAUGAAAUACAACUCUUAAGAAACACUUUCAAAUAAUCAUGUACAUAAUGUGAAACUUAUGUAAAGAGGUGGUCCAUGCCUGGACACCUAUCAGUUACUGAAUAAUCACUGUCUUUUCCUACAAAUUAAUAACCAGAAACUCACUGUCAUCAAAUAUCUAUCUAAAUUUUAUUUGAUUUUAGAGUAUGAUUUCUGCUAAGUUGGGUAAUAAUAUAUGAAAAGGGAAUAAACUAGCUGUCAGUGUCCAACUUUUAAAAAAAUACUAUCUGGCCAACUUCACCCUAUAGUACCUUAAGGUCCAAAAGAAUUCUGGUGGACUCAAACACUAAGCAGAACUCAGCAGGACACCAGCUCUGAGCUCCAGGGCCCCUGAAGAGGCAAUUCUUUGGACCAAUAGUGAACAGUUCACUGUUCACUCACACAGGAUCUGAACCUAUAAUUAAAAUAAAAUUUUAUUCUAUACUAAGUGAGAGUACGUAAAUACAAAAAGAAACUUCUUCAUCACUUAGAGAGGGUAUAGAAGAUUCUUCCCCUCUGCAAGACAUUCAUUUCGCAGGACCCUUUUCCUAUAACCUCCGUGCUGCCCUUUAAUCUCUUAGGAUCCAGUUCCAUAUUUCUUGUGGUAUAAAUAACUAAAGAAUGGGGACACUGAGCAGUGACUGAGUAUGUAAGUCAGAACAACCCUGGAAUACUUCAUGAUAAAAUAUAAUAAAGCUUCCUAUUGAUGUUAUAAGUGGUCUCCAUGAGUAAUAGAAACCUGACAGUUUUUCCUGUGUUUAAGGGCAUCUGCAGUUAUUUGCAGUUUCUUCAUAUAAAUUGUUAAAAUAUAUUAUCUUUAAUAGGUAUAGUGAGGCUCAUGUUUCUAUGAAGACAUACUUGAGGUCAAAUUAAAUAAACACCCACAAUCAAAUAAAGUUAACAGUUAUAUUUAUUAAAUACAAUUUAAAAAGUAUUUCCAUGGUAAAUAUUGUGAAAUUAAAAAUAAUACAAUCAUAACCUCCAGGAUAAUUGUUUGUGUUUUUUCUCAUUGUAGUUAUCAUCUAUGGGCUGGAAGUAUCUGUAAAAGUUUAUGAGAUGCAGAUCCUACAUUUUAUAGUUGAUGAGGUUAUUUGACCAGAGUCAAAGCUGAGUCCCUUUCAAUUUUUAGGACGAGAUUUUCCAAAACACAUGGCAUACCAUCAUCUGGUAGCUCCUACCAAAUCAGAAGGCUCAGGAAUAAAAUUCUUCCAAAUCCGCACAAGAGAGUACAUAACUGUAAUACUCUGGAAAGAUCUCUAUUGUACAAAGCUGAAUGGGUCUCUUUAGAAAUAAUGUGAAGCACAUAAAAUCUUCUAAAUGCUAUUACUGUAAAUUUGAGGUUGUUGAGUUAGGUACUUGUGUUCCUCUUUCUGUAGCAGUAGUAAAGAUUUCCAAAUACAGGCACAUUCCUAAUAUGUUGACACUAUUUUAUCUUCAACAGCAGUUGUUAAAUCAUAUUACCUGGUGUCUGUGCGAAAUAUAAUGUAGGAUGGGCUAUAAAGUAAUAAAUAAAUAAAUAAAUAAACAAAUACAUACAUAAAAAUAUUUUUUCUCUUGUCUUAUACUAGCAAUUCCAGUGAUAAAAGUUGCUAGCUUCAAUUUCAGGUUAUCAGACCCAUGUCAGUCUCUGCCUAGCAUUAUUGAUAACUCUGUUGCCCAAGUCAGAAGUAGGAAGCCACACUUAACAAACCCAUACUUUCUCUUCCUCUUCUCUCAUAUGCAAUCAGUUAUCCAAGUCAGUAUUCCCAAUUGUACUUGUUUAUAUCAACAGCUCCGACUUCCUUUCCAUCACUAAUGUCAUUACCUUCUUCAGAGGUCUCAUUCUUCUUGCUUGAAUUACACAGGAGUCCUGUGGUAAUCUACUUGCCUACAGCAUUGUUCCAUCUCCAGAGGCAAAAUGGAGAAUUGGUUUGGAUCUUAGAUCUACCAUCACUUUCUUAUUUUGUACCAAAUUACAUAUAGAUCUGUCAAAAUGAUGUAGGACCUGAAAUCUCUCGGUAAGUUGAUCCUCUUGACCCCAUGAUUAGGAGCUUCACAAUGUGCUACCGCACCUGGAAAUCUCCUGAGCAAGAUCUCAUGGAAACACAGGAAAUUCCGGGAACAGCAAAACAUCCUACUUGAAGACAUUCAGUUAUUCCUCUGUGAACGGGGAGCAUCAUUGUUAAUUAGCUGUUGAUGUACUUAAGAGUUUUCUUGCCAACUGACUUUGUGAAGAAAGAAGAGCCAGGUGUAUUAUUUGGGAUGCACUACCAAAAGUGCUGUCAUAACAGGUUGAUCUUGACAUACUAUUGCUCCAGCAAAUGUGUACUUCUUACUACUGUAAAUUCUGGUGCAAGAGGGUUGACUGUCCAGGCAGCAACUGAUUUCGGGAAUUAGUCAUCUCAGCGUGUGUCUCCAGGAUACCACAGUAGAGGAUAAAGAGGCAGAGGAUCACAUGCCUGGAAAUAUAUGUUUUGAUACAGAGGUGAUAUGUGUCAUUUCCGCUUGCAGUCCACGGGCUUGAACAGAGUUGUUCAUAUCUGUGGGAGGACUGGAACACACUCAGAGCACAUGUUGCACUAGGCCGUUGUUCCUCUUGGCUUUGACGAACUUUGAAUUUGUUUUUAAUAGGCCUAGUUUACACCACUAAAUUGUAUAUUUCCUGAGUCUUCCCAGCAUCCUCUGCUGGUAUUUUCUAGCAUAUGUUAACACAGAGUAAGCAUUUAAUAGCCACAAUCGACUAAGCACUUAGAACUCUUAAGUUUUACUUUAAUAUUAGAUUUGAGAACCCUGUAGCUGCUGUAUCACAUCAGGAAAGACUAAUUGCAAAUACAAGUAUAAAGAAAUGUGGAGCCAGGAAGGGGAUCUGAGGAUGGGGGAGAAGGAAAGGAAAUAGGAAAUAAACAGGAUUAACCUGAUGUGUGUGUGUGUGUGUGUGUAUAUAUAUAUAUAUAUAUAUAUAUAUAUAUAUAUGUUUGUAUAUGUCAUAUAUAUUUGUAUGUAUACAAAUAUAUAUAUACAUAUGUACCAAUACUCAACAAUGAAGGUGCUUAUUAUGUAUUAUAAAUAUAUACUAGUAAAUAUUUUUUAAAAGGUGCUCCUCAGUUUCAGUUUUGAGGCUUAUUAGUUUUGUUUUUUACAUAUUUUUUUGCUUUGUUUUCUUCUGGAAAGCAGAGGUUCAUUUCUAAUUUUCAUUGGAAUUAGAACAGUUGUUUCCAUAUGCAAGGACAGUGCUUCCAGUUCUUUGGGGGAAUUUGCCUGCAAAUGCCUGCACCCAUGUUGUAACACUAAUCUCUUGCGUAGAUCAGAUUUGUUCUUUUGAGAUAAAAAUUUCGAAUUCCAUGUCUGCCAUGCAUUCUAUAAUGUUUCAUAGCAGGAACUGUAAUGCUGAUGCCUUAGGUUGUAUCCUGUCACUUAUUACCGCUGUGAUAGUAGCCAGGCUGGUUAAUCAUUUUACAUCACUUGUAAAAUAAAUACACCUAUUUCUAUUGCUUUAACUAUUUCUUAAAUUAUAUAAUUUAUUUAUAUGAUGUCUCGCAAGUCAAAUGAUGUUCAUAAGUAUAUCUAUAAAUGUUAG